CAUGCGCGAGGCCCGAGCCGCCGCUUUGGUCACAGUGACCGCCACCGUCGCCGGGGGAUGGGUCCCUGAGACUUGGCGAAGUAGGAGCCCUGUGUGAUCGUGCGUCAGAGUCGGGGCUGAGACCAGCCCUGGCCAGGGCAGUUACCAGGACGGUCUCCGGAGGCCGGGAUUCGCGGAGGGUCCACCAGCAGGAAGAAACCCCAGGAGGAAGAAACCUCAGACAGAUCGCCGGGGAGGCAGCGCGGGAUCCCAGCCUCAGGCGUGCGCGGACGGUGUGCGGCUUUGUACCAGGCUGCAGUGCAGUAGUGCCAUCUCAGCUCACUGCAACCUCUGCCUCCCGGGUUCAAGCGAUUGUCCUGCCUCAGCCUCCCGAGUAGCUGGGAUUACAGCCACAUGCCACCACACCCAGCUAAUGUUUGUAUUUUUAGUAGAUACGGGGUUUCAUCAUGUUGCCCAGGAUGCUCUUAAUUUCCUGACCUCGUGAUCCGCCCAUCUCGGCCUCCCAAAAUGCUGGGAUUACAGGCAUGAGCCACCAGAACCGGACAUGCUUUGCUUAAAAGCUAAAUAUUUUAGGCUUGUGUGCCAUUAGGCUCUGUUACAACUACUUAAUUCUGCUUUUGUAAUUCUAUAGCACCCAUUGAUAAUACAUAAACAAAUGAGCAUGAAUGUGUCUCAGUAAAAAUUUGUUCACAUAAACAGGCAGUCCACCCAUGAAGCUAUAGCUUGCUGACCCCUUGUUUAAACAAUCAAUUGAAUUCAAACAGAAAUAAAAGGAUCUUAUAUAUUUAACCAUGUUGAUACCAUUUCCAGUGCUUUUCAUUCUUCUAUGUAGAUCCAAAUUUCCUUUUGAUAUUAUUUUACUUCUGCCUGAAACAUUUUCUUUAACAUUUUUUAUAGUGUUGUUUUACUGGUGAUGAUUUCUUUCAGGUUCUAAGUGCCUGAACAAAAUCUUUAUUUCACCUACAUCUUGAAAGAUAGUUUCUCUGAGUCUACAAUUCCCAGCUGACAAUGUUUAUCUUCCAGUACUUUAAAGAUGUUGCUUCAUUAUCUUCUAAUUUUCUUUGUUUCCAAUAAAAUGUUUGCUGGC
rnacentral:lncRNA from 1 species